GAUGAACGCUGGCGGCAUGCCUUACACAUGCAAGUCGAGCGGCAGCGCGGGGGCAACCCUGGCGGCGAGCGGCGAACGGGUGAGUAAUGCAUCGGAACGUGUCCUCUUGUGGGGGAUAACCAGUCGAAAGACUGGCUAAUACCGCAUGAGAUCGAGAGAUGAAAGCGGGGGACCGUAAGGCCGCGCGCGAUUGGAGCGGCCGAUGGCGGAUUAGCUAGUUGGUGGGGUAAAGGCCUACCAAGGCAACGAUCCGUAGCGGGUCUGAGAGGAUGAUCCGCCACACUGGGACUGAGACACGGCCCAGACUCCUACGGGAGGCAGCAGUGGGGAAUUUUGGACAAUGGGCGAAAGCCUGAUCCAGCCAUGCCGCGUGAGUGAAGAAGGCCUUCGGGUUGUAAAGCUCUUUCAGACGGAAAGAAAUCUUCUGGGCUAAUAUCCCGGGAGGAUGACGGUACCGUAAGAAGAAGCACCGGCUAACUACGUGCCAGCAGCCGCCGCGG
rnacentral:rRNA from 1 species